UGCAAGUCGAGCGGACAGAUGGGAGCUUGCUCCCUGAUGUUAGCGGCGGACGGGUGAGUAACACGUGGGUAACCUGCCUGUAAGACUGGGAUAACUCCGGGAAACCGGGGCUAAUACCGGAUGGUUGUCUGAACCGCAUGGUUCAGACAUAAAAGGUGGCUUCGGCUACCACUUACAGAUGGACCCGCGGCGCAUUAGCUAGUUGGUGAGGUAACGGCUCACCAAGGCGACGAUGCGUAGCCGACCUGAGAGGGUGAUCGGCCACACUGGGACUGAGACACGGCCCAGACUCCUACGGGAGGCAGCAGUAGGGAAUCUUCCGCAAUGGACGAAAGUCUGACGGAGCAACGCCGCGUGAGUGAUGAAGGUUUUCGGAUCGUAAAGCUCUGUUGUUAGGGAAGAACAAGUGCCGUUCAAAUAGGGCGGCACCUUGACGGUACCUAACCAGAAAGCCACGGCUAACUACGUGCCAGCAGCCGCGGUAAUACGUAGGUGGCAAGCGUUGUCCGGAAUUAUUGGGCGUAAAGGGCUCGCAGGCGGUUUCUUAAGUCUGAUGUGAAAGCCCCCGGCUCAACCGGGGAGGGUCAUUGGAAACUGGGGAACUUGAGUGCAGAAGAGGAGAGUGGAAUUCCACGUGUAGCGGUGAAAUGCGUAGAGAUGUGGAGGAACACCAGUGGCGAAGGCGACUCUCUGGUCUGUAACUGACGCUGAGGAGCGAAAGCGUGGGGAGCGAACAGGAUUAGAUACCCUGGUAGUCCACGCCGUAAACGAUGAGUGCUAAGUGUUAGGGGGUUUCCGCCCCUUAGUGCUGCAGCUAACGCAUUAAGCACUCCGCCUGGGGAGUACGGUCGCAAGACUGAAACUCAAAGGAAUUGACGGGGGCCCGCACAAGCGGUGGAGCAUGUGGUUUAAUUCGAAGCAACGCGAAGAACCUUACCAGGUCUUGACAUCCUCUGACAAUCCUAGAGAUAGGACGUCCCCUUCGGGGGCAGAGUGACAGGUGGUGCAUGGUUGUCGUCAGCUCGUGUCGUGAGAUGUUGGGUUAAGUCCCGCAACGAGCGCAACCCUUGAUCUUAGUUGCCAGCAUUCAGUUGGGCACUCUAAGGUGACUGCCGGUGACAAACCGGAGGAAGGUGGGGAUGACGUCAAAUCAUCAUGCCCCUUAUGACCUGGGCUACACACGUGCUACAAUGGACAGAACAAAGGGCAGCGAAACCGCGAGGUUAAGCCAAUCCCACAAAUCUGUUCUCAGUUCGGAUCGCAGUCUGCAACUCGACUGCGUGAAGCUGGAAUCGCUAGUAAUCGCGGAUCAG
rnacentral:rRNA from 1 species